rnacentral:rRNA from 1 species
UAAUUAAAUUACUAAUAUUAAAUUAAAAAAUAAUUUUUUACCUUAAAGAUUUUAAUAAGAUUAAACUUUUUAACUUUAACCUCUUAAAACUGGAAAAUUGGAUUAACUAAUAAUUAUUUAAAUUAAAGUGCCAGCAAUUGCGGUUACUCUUAAAAUUAAAUUAUUUUUUUAUUAAUUAUAUUUACCCUAUAAUUAUAUUAAAUUAUUUUAAGUAAAAUUUUAUAAUUUAACAUAAUUUUUUUUUUAAAUAAUCUAAAUUUUAGUUUUAAGUAAAAUUUUAUAAUUUAACAUAAUUUUUUUUUUAAAUAAUCUAAAUUUUAGUUUAAAAAAAGGAUUAGACACCCUUUUAUUCUAUUAUAUAAUAGGUAGUAUAUUUUGUAGAAACCACGAUACUAUGGCGGCAUUUUAUUUUAUUAGAGGAACAUGUUUAUUAAUCGACAUCACACGAUUAUUUUUACUUAUUUUCAUAUUUUAUAUACCUCCGUCCAGAAUAAAUUUUUGAUAUUUUAUUCAAAAUAAAAUUAUAAUAAUUUAGGUAAAGGUGUAGACCUUAAAUUAGACUAAAUGUGUUACAUUAAAAACUAUUUAAGGAUUAUUUUUAUAAAAAUAUAUGAAAAAGGAUUUAUAAGUAUUUUAAAAUUAAAAUUUUAACUUGAAUUAAAAAAUAAAUGUGCACAUAUCGCCCGUCACCUUUAUCCAAAGAUAAAGUAAGUCGUAACAAAGUUAAUGUUCUAGAAAGAGCAUUUU